CCGUUCAAAAUUUAAAUUAAUUUUCAAUUGGUUAAUAAUUUUAAUAAUUUUAUAAUAAUUAAUAAUUUAAUUUAAUUGGUUAAUAAUUUGGUUAAUAAUUAAUUGUUUUGAAUGGUUCUCGAGAGUUACCUUCAGUUCCUUCCUUUCGUUUCGAAGCAAUAUUUCUGAUUGAUACGAUAUGAUAUGAUAUGAUUUGAUUGAUUGAUUGACAUUCGACACGUACCGGGCAGGGCAAGUCCUGUCCUUACACUUUCAAGACGUUCAAGAAAAAGCCAUCGCCUAUCUUGUGGCGACUGGCCUUUACGCCCUGUUUGGCCUGAUGGCUUUCGGUAACCCUUCCACUCUUCAACAAUGCAUUCCCGAAACCAGAGAAUUGAAACACACAAAAACCAGAAUUCCGGUGAAAGAAGAAAACAUAUCCAGCAAUUGCAGCAAUAUCUGGCACACACCUAACUGCUUAAGCUGUGUUUAAACAUGGACACAAGUCAACAAUUUAAAAUAAUUGUUGAAGACACGUAAGACCCUAGGGCUCGGGGUCAGCACGGCUAAUCAUACCAGAUCCUUGGCAUACACGACCAAGGAUAUCUCAGCAAUUGCAGCGAAUAUUUAUUACACUAAACUCUUUAUGUUUAGUCACUUACACAACUUAACAGUUUAUUUAACCGUUCAAAGACAAGUACGACCCCAAGAGCCCGGGCCAAUGCUCUUUUCUGCGGUGGACCGCAUUGACGAGCAACUGCACAGCACAGCACAGUGCACAAUUGUUCAAUCUGUUCAACAACAAUAAAUGCUUAAGUUACCCACUUAUCA